rnacentral:lncRNA from 1 species
AACUUUAAACCCUCCCUCAUCUCCUCCCGCGGCUUUCCUCCUCCCCCUCGUCGUCCUCUCUCUCUCUCUCUCUCUCUCCAUGGCAUCACUUCUCCAAAAGCUCCUCAAAAGACCCCCUCUGACACCUCCCUUUCGAAUCCUUGCAUCCUUUGCCAACCCCCAGCUCGCACAUCCCCCUCUCCGUCCAUCCCUUCUCCACGAUGCACUCCCUCGAACCAAUCCGAGACCGAACCCUUCUUCCUUCCCUUUUCUUCCCGACAGCUUCUACGAAUCCCUCCAAUUUUACCCAGUUCCCCCCAUUUUUUUCGUUGGAAUCCCAUCUCCCAAUCCGGCUUCGAUCGAUGCCAUGACGAGAGUGACAGCGAUCCAGGGGUUGGUGAGGAGGGGCGCGAUCACAUGGUGUGGGCCGACAGUGUGAAGAAGAAGAGGAAGAGAAAGAUGAACAAACAUAAGUACAAGAAGCUGCGGAAGAGACUUCGGCGCCGGAAAUCUUGAUCUGGUUAGAGCCCAUGCUGUCAUUGUUUUUUAUUUCCCAUUAAAUGUUUUUAAGAUAAGUAAUUUCUGCUAAAUUUAGAGUCUUUUUGAUAAUUUAUUGACAUACGAAGCUGAGGAAGGUAGUAGGCGCCAGAAGUCUUGAUGUGGUUAGAGCCCAUGGCGUCUUUGUUUUCACUUAUUUUUGAAAUAAAUAAUUUGGUCCAAGUUUGGAUUUUUCUGGUAUAUUAUUUGACAUAAAAGGCUAAAGGUUCAAUUUUGGGUGAUUUUUGUCUGAGAUAUUUUUGAUGCACAUUGUUAAUGGUGAGAAUCUUAUAUGUAUACAUCCUCCUUAUUGCCAAACUUUUGAAACAUACAACAUAUUGACCUACAAUAUUUCACCUUUGAAUAUAUCAAAUAUAACACAUGUGAAGUUCUAGUUAGUCUUCACCAUUCUAUGUUUAUGGUAUCCAUCAUGAUCAUUUAUUCCAGUCGUGCAGCCAAUAUUUUCAAAAUAACAGAAGUGAGCAGUUUUUAAACUUUUUGCUCCGUCUCAUGAGUACUUUGGAAUAUCUAUUGGCCUUUGAUUUUAUCGAGGGCCUUGAAUAAUUCUUUGUUCCUACUAAAAGUGUAAGUCUAUACAGUGCUAUACGUUUAGGAACAAUUUGCAAAAAAAAUAUAUAUAUCAUCUAGAAAUGUCUUACAGUAUGAAGCCUUUGCAUGUCGAAGAUAGUUUAAUGAAUGACAAGUCUAUUAUGGUUGAGGUUUAGGGCUGACUUUUGUGUGUGCUUCUUGUUUCACAUUUUUCAUUUUUGGCUGCAUGUUUCCUCAUUGAUAUCAAUGUCACCUUCCAGUAUACACGUCUUUUUCUACCAAACCCUACAACCUCCUGAGAUUACUAUACCAUAUGCUUUUGUGUGUGAAAGGCCAUAAUCUCUCUUUUUGCACAAAUUUUCCAUGUUUUGAUCAGUUCCUUAAAAGUGAAACUAGCCUUAAUAAGUGACUAUCCUGAGAAUAAGUGAAAUUAUUUUGUGCUUUAUUUUUGUUUUUUAUGGUCUCGUUUACUUUAUCAUCUUCCAUAAUUUUAUUUUAAUUUAUUUUUGCUAUUUUUAAUGUUUUAAUGAUUAUACAGCUUAGAAAUUAUUGCCAUAGUAAUCACCUAUCAUCUAGGAGUUUCUAUACUUUAAAUUCACAGUCAACAAGCUAAUUAACCAAACUAACUGGGUUAAUCACAAAAUUUCUUAUAAUUCUAUCAGUGUAUCAUUUGAACCUAAUGUGAUGUAGAACAGUUCAGGGGAAAGGAGAAAUUCAAGGUUUCAGGCAUCAGGAUUCUAAAACUAAACCUAUAGUUGGCUGGACUUUCUAUUCAGAUCCAGGUUUUCAGAGAAGGUGAACUGCAAGUGAGGUUUCCUAGUUGAAAAUAUGCAAUAAUAUUUUACAAUUUUACAUGUUGUUUCUGGAUGUAAGGAUGGAAUAGAUGCUUGAGGAAAAAAAUAGUUGAUGAGAGAGAAAGAAGGCAAAGAGUGAAGAUCUGGACUCAUGUUGGGUGCUUCACUAAGAGUGAGCCUCAUACUUGUGAGAAGGAAAGAUAAGGAAGAAAGAGAAUAUAUGGUUACCUGGAACCCAUUGGAGGGCCUAGCACCUGACUUUGUAUUAUAGAAAGGAGAAUUCAAAUGACAUAAGGCUUCUUCUACCCAAAGGACAAAGGGCUUCUAACAUUAAACAAGACUGCAUUACUAUCAUUAUUGUUAAACAACCUAAGGGGGCCCUGCUGUUCAUACACAACCUAAAAAUGGCUUAUGACCAAAAUGCUUCUCCACUUAUAUGCUAAUUAUAAGUCAGCCACAAUUUCAUGCCCAAGUAAAUUGUGGGCCUAGUAAACAUAAAUAUAAAAUAGCCUCUGCUAUGUGCUAUAGUAAAUGAUCUAAUGAUUAAGCAAAAUACUACCAAAUAAUAUACUACAUGAAUUCAACUGCUGUCUCAAACAGUAAAGCUAGGGCUACCAACUAUCUCAUCUAUUAAUUAGCUCAUACUUGAUUGCCUCAACCAAAUUACUUGAUCCUUGACUCUCUUGGUCCCCAAGUUCCUACAAGCUCAACUUAGUGACUGCAUCAUACAUGUGUGCUAUCCUGGAUUGUCUCAGGUUCAAGAUCUUACUACUGUUCUCUUCCUUAUGAAAUGUGAUAAUAUAUUCCUCAACAUAUCCUUUUGAAGCUCCAAGUUCUUCUCUAGUUGCUGCCUGUACACCUUUCACUGUGCUAUUUCUUCUUGUUGCACAAAGUCGUCCAAAAUGAAUUUAAUGUCCUUUGACAACCACUGUAACUAAGAAUAUUAAAAGAUAAUAAUCUUCAAUAAUAAAGUGAAUAUGCAUGGGAAAGUAAUCAUUUCUCUUGUAUAAACAUUGCUUACCUCUAAAUUUUUAGCUUCUUUAGCCUCAAGUGCAUCUUCAUGAGCAACUUGUUCUUCAAUCCUUGGGGUAUCAUAUGCAGUUACUUCAGUUUGUGGUGGGUACUGUGGCAUGUCAUCCUUGGCUAUCUAAACACAAAGCAUGAUGAUAGGAUCUUAAGGAGCUUUUUCCAUAUUCUAUCUUCAAUAUUUUUGAGAGAAUUCUGAUCUUCAAUAUCAUUCUGGAUAUCUUAUUUGUUGGCAAAGCUUUGGGGAGUUUCUUUCAGCUCCUUCAGUUCUUAUGCUACAAUGCACUCUUUGCUGGACUAUCUUAGUUUUGCAUGAUGAGAAUCCAUUGGAAGUAGGUGAUGCAUCUUCGUUAGCACGAUAUUUUCACAUCUGUCUAGUCUCUUAGGUAGUAGGUGCUUUCAUGCUUUAAAUAUAAUGUGCAUCUUAGAAUCUUUGGGCCUGAAGAUGUUAUGAUCUAUUGCAUUUUGACCGUGAGAUAUAUUGGUUGGUGUCUUGCACACUGUCAAAUAAUACAUCAAGCUGAUUGCUAUUAUCAUCAACAAUUAAUUACAUUUUCUUGGAGACGAAAGACCAUCCCUUUGAUAUGAUGACCAUCCUUCAUGAGUGCAUAUGGUGUUAAUGUAACUCUGAUGCCAAACUGAUCUUGUUUCACCUAGGAGAAAGGAGUAAUUUAAGGUUUCGGCUUUAAGAUGCCGGGUCUGAACCUCUAGUUUACUGGAUUUUCUAAUUUAAUCUGCAUUUUCAAUGAAGGUUAGCUACAAAUGAGGUUUUUUCAUGGAAAAUAUGCAAGGGAUUAUUGGGGUUUUACAAUGAUUUGAGGAUCUGAGGAUAUAUAUUAAAAAAAAGGAAAGAAAAAGAAAAAGUGCACCAAAAUUAUAAAUGAGAUUAAAUGGGAGAGGAAAAGAGGGAUAAAGCCUGGCUUCACUCUGUGCGGGUCUUCUCCUAGGUCAACCGUUGCAGCUACAUGAAGGAAAGAUAACAAAAUGGAGAAGAUAUGAAUACCCAGACUCACUUCAAGGCACUGUACUUGACUUCAUAUCACAUAGAGAUCUCAAAUAGGAAGAAGAUGGCUUCUAUCAUUCAUCAACAUUAUAGCAUCAUUAUUACAUCAAACACCCUGAGGAGGGGUGGCCACUAUUUGGAAAUGGCCUAAAAAUGACAUGCAGCCACAAUAUGCUGCCACUUAGAUUCUAAUCACAGACCAAUUACUACUUCAUGCCUAAGGAACUUCUUGGUCAAGUAAAAAUAUUUUGUUGACUAAGUAAAUGAAAUAAAAUAGCCAUAAUUUAUACCCAAUAAGUGAUUUAGUGAUUAAACGAUUUAAAAAAAAAGAAAAAGAAUGACAUGGACCCAACUAAGACUUGAACAAUAAAGCUAGGACGAGACGAAUGAAACUCUGAUGAUUUCAUUAAGUAACUGAGACUUGAUUGGCAAUUAAAAAGAACUUGACCAAUACUUGCAGCUUUUUGUCCAGUAGUUAGCCACAAGCUUGUCACAACUGCAUUGUAAUGUGUUUUCCUCUUGCAUUUUUUCUAAAACUUUAAUUAACUUCUUUGAAUUGAAUGAUUGUAUGCAUGUAUAUUUUCUCUGAAAUCAAUUUUUUAAUCUAUUGCAUCAAUAGUGCCCUUGUAAUAGCUUUGAAAAUAUCAUGGCCUAAUUUUUUCAAUUCCUUCUUUCAUUUGUCAAAUUCACAUUAUCCUUGAUCUUCAUGCAAUUAAAGUGAUCCAAAUGUGAGUUUUUUCUCACCAAAAAAAAAAGAAGAGUUUUUCCAUGCUUUCAUUCUAGUGAUACAUUUGUACAUAUGCACUGCUUGCAUAUGCAUGUGAUAUGUAUGUAUGUGUUUGCACAUUCACGUUGUUGUGCAUGCGUGUUUGACAUUUGUAUGUAUGCAUAUUUAUAUUGUUACGGAUCAAACUUCUUGAGCUGUGUGCCUCUUAGUCAUUCUACCCCUUCCACAAAAAAUAGCACACUUGUCACUUCAUGCAAAUCUCUAUCUUCAGGAACAGGCUAAUCAAUGUACUCAACUUUCUUAGAAGAACAUUUUGAUGGGAUCAUUAUUAUCCAUCCAUCUUAUAAGCAUGACACGUGCUCAGCACUGUAUGCAUGCAUUUGUGUCUCUUAAGACUAAUCAUCAUGUAACUUCUUCAUUAGCUGUUUACAUGGUCUAGACAGCCAGUUUGCUUGUUUUGUCCUUUCAUAUAGUUCUUUCCUAGCCUAUUAUAUGUUUUUUCUUUCCACUACUUGGUGCACAGAUAGCACCACACUGUAGCAUGAAAACACUAUAAAUGAGUAAAUUAUGGCCUUAACUAUGUAUUGGUAAAUGCAUUUGAAAGCUACCAGAAAAAGAAUCUGAGUAACUAAAAAAGCCUGUAGUAGAAAGUGGGCCCUUGUUGAAAAGUAAAUAACUUGAGCUAGAUUAAUCCUGGGGUACAUGAUAUGCAUCCUGAAGUUGUGCAUACCUAAUAGCAAUAUAUAGUUGGAUUGAUGCUUCAAUGUUUGUAUAUAAGUUCCAUCAUUGUGUAUCCUUUCUGGAUUCUAUCAUGUUCAGCUCUCUUGUAUUCACUCUUUUUCAUCUCACUCCACCUGCAAACCAGCCUUCACCUUGACUGAACACUCAACUAAACAAACACAUUUUUUUAGCACCAAAUUUAUGCAUCCAUGGUAUUAUGAUGUUUGAAUUUAUUGAACGUUCAUUGUAAUUGAAAAAACUAGUUCCUAUUCAAAUUUUGGAAGGAGAUGAUUAAAUAACAAGUUUAAGUGCUUUUCGUUGUCUGAUGGAAAUAACUAUUUUAUUGAUCUCAUGAUCUUUUCUAAUUCCAUAUUUUCUAUAGCAUUUGUGCUCAGAUUAUUCUCAAAUAAUGUAUUUUAUAGCAUAGAGUUAUUUCAUUUAAUCCUACCCGAUGCAACCAUCCUACAAAUUACUGAAUCUGGCUCUUUGUUUCUUCCUGAAGGUUUGUUAUUUUGUUUAUAAACCACUUGUCUGAUACUUGUAGCAUGGAAAUGACAGAAUACAAUUUUGUUUUAUAGGAUGGGACUGCAUGAAGAGCUGAAAUACUGAGUGCAAUGAAAGCAAAUGGGAGGAAUUACAUGUGGAACAUGGAAUAGUGGAAACAAGUUAAGCAGAAGCAUGUGCUUAUCGUUCUGUGGAUAAUGGGGCUGCAAUGUGAAGGGAUAUGGCCCUUUCUAGGGAAGGUUAUUGAAGAGAAACUACCAGUCUAACCGAAUAGGAAGAACAUGGGUUCAAUAGUUUAUUUAGAAUGAUCUAGUAUCAUUUUGUGACAUAAAAGAUGAUUGUGUUCCCUAUAAAUUGCAUUUUAUUUUACACUUUCGUAAUAUGAAAAUUGAAUUUUGAUCCUGAUGUCCAUGC